GGACUACUCGGGUAUCUAAUCCUGUUUGAUCCCCACGCUUUCGUGCCUCAGCGUCAAUCAUACCAUAGUAAGCUGCCUUCGCAAUUGGUGUUCUGUGACAUAUCUAUGCAUUUCACCGCUACUUGUCACAUUCCGCCUACCUCUAGUACAUUCAAGCCCAUCAGUAUCAAGGGCACUGCGAUAGUUGAGCUACCGUCUUUCACCCCUGACUUAACAGGCCGCCUACGCACCCUUUAAACCCAAUAAAUCCGGAUAACGCUCGGAUCCUCCGUAUUACCGCGGCGGCUGGCAC
rnacentral:rRNA from 1 species